GAGGGGAGCUGGGGUGGUGCCGAGAGCAGGGUCACUGCAGGGCCUGGGCUGAGCCGGGCGGAAGCUUGGAACACGGAACAAGGCCGUGGGCCUGGCUGCAGGGUGGGCACUGAAGACCUGGGCAGAGACCCUGCGGGAGUAUGCUGGGUACCUUCUUGGCAGAGAGAGAUCCAGGAAAACUUCCUUGAUGAGGUGAUAUGUAAGCCACGAUAAGAUUUUGCAGAAUGGUCCAUUGCCCCUUGACUCUGGGCGGAACUCCGUGGCUGCCUCGGCGAGUAGAAGUGAUGCUGCCUGGUGCCGAGGCCGGGUCAUAAAAGGAGGCACAGCCCGGACCUCGCGCUGUGAGAAGUGACACGUGGAGAGAGCUGGAGCUCGGGCUGGCAGCCAGUCACCACGGGACCUGUGGGUCCCACUGCUCCCUCUCAGAGCUCCUGACACACACAGUCUCUGAGCACGAAGAAUAGCUGUUUCACGCCACUAGAUUCUGGGGGUGAUUUGUAAGCCGUGGUCACUGGAACGAGAGCUUUGUGAACCAUAAAGUGCUAUACAAGUGUCAGAUGUUAUUAGUAAAACUGAGUUUGGU